GAAGGGAAGGAUCGGCUGACUGGGCGAGCUGAUCAGCCAUGCCGCGUGUGUGAAGAAGGUCUUCGGAUUGUAAAGCACUUUAAGUUGGGAGGAAGGGCAGUAAGUUAAUACCUUGCUGUUUUGACGUUACCGACAGAAUAAGCACCGGCUAACUCUGUGCCAGCAGCCGCGGUAAUACAGAGGGUGCAAGCGUUAAUCGGAAUUACUGGGCGUAAAGCGCGCGUAGGUGGUUCGUUAAGUUGGAUGUGAAAUCCCCGGGCUCAACCUGGGAACUGCAUCCAAAACUGGCGAGCUAGAGUAUGGUAGAGGGUGGUGGAAUUUCCUGUGUAGCGGUGAAAUGCGUAGAUAUAGGAAGGAACACCAGUGGCGAAGGCGACCACCUGGACUGAUACUGACACUGAGGUGCGAAAGCGUGGGGAGCAAACAGGAUUAGAUACCCCGGUAGUCA
rnacentral:rRNA from 1 species